GCUGUAAUGUAAGAAACGCCUUUUGCCUCCUGCCAUAAUUCUGAGGCCUCACAGCCAUGUGGAACGCUCUGGAGGCCAGAAGUCCAAAAUCAAGAUGUUGCAGCACUGGUCCCUGGGAGGCUGUGCAGGAGAAUCUGCUCUGGGCGUCUCUCCUGGCUCCUGGUGGUGCCACAAUCUUCCCUGAUCCUUGGCUUUUGAAGGCAUCCCCCAGCUCUCUGCCUCAUCUUCACAGGACUUCUCCCUGUGCCUGUCUGUGCCCAAAUUUCCCCUUCUAUAAGGACACAGUCCUACUGCAUCAGGGCCCACGCUAAUCACUUCUUCUUCACUAAUUACAUCGGCAAACCCCCUAUUUCCAAGUUAAGUCAUGUUCUGAGGUUAGGAUUUCAAUACCUGAAUUUUAGGGGACAUAGUUCAGCCCAAAGGACCUGGGGGGACAGAAACACCCAGGAAAGUCCACAGGUCAGCGCCUGGACCCGCCUGGCCGUGGGACAUUGCUCGGCCGAGUUCAUCCUCAUAAACGCUGACGUGUGCUAGAAGAUACAAUAUUAGUUUCAUAAACAACAGUUUCUUUUUUUGCAAACCAUACCCACAGGUCCUAUUGCCACUUUUCAGUGCUGCAGCAGCUAGUCAGAUGACAACUGGGUGAGAGCUUGGUCUCGAGUGUUUCCUGUGAGGCCAGAAUAUUGCUCUGAUUCCUCAGGGGUGACUCAGCCCUCCGGUGGGAAAUAUGUGACCUCAUUUGCAUUUCCUAAUUGAAUUGCUAUCAGCUUUCCUGCAAGACUGCACCAAAAAACAGUUCUUCCAGAUUCCAGCACUGCCUGCAUUGCCCACAGAAAGGCUGCUUUUAAAUAGUUGCUAAGAGAGGGCGACAAAAGAAGGAGAAAAGUUGCCAAAUUUUUAUGGUUCAUCUAACUGUAAAGCUGUCAGUUUUACCCAGCUCCCCAGAGUCGCUAAAAUAAUGGACAGAGGAGGCGGCACUUGAAGAAACCUCGACAUAAGAGAAAUGAAAUUUACAGAACCAGGAAAUUAGGGGUCCCCAUGCACCUGCCCUGGCAGAAUCUGCUUCCAGGCUCCUCUCAAUAAACACUGCCCUGGGACUCCCAGCGCUCUGUAAACUGAUGCUUUGAAGGAGGCCAUUUGUUUCUCCAGAACCUUCUGCCAGCAGAACUCUUGCUUACCACGUGCCCCCAUCAGAACUCCCACCUUCUCUAAACACAGUUAGGUAGCCCUCUGCAUGCAUUUGUUUAAAAAAAUUAAAUUGUGAGUAAUAGACUAUAAGUACAACAGCGUACAGAACACCAGCUAAAAAAAUGAUGGCAGAAUGAGCACCUGUCUUGCCACAAGACUCCCUCCCACCCUCUGGUGUCCCCCAGCAUGGCUUCCUGCUGCCCCCUGAAAGGAACCCUCAACCGACUGUAACUCUGCACCUCAGUGCCACCCGAAUUUGGACUUCAUGGGAGUGCGGUCACUCGGCUGACACGUGUUCCUGCUGCCAGGCACCUGCCUGCUCUCCUUCUUUGGUCUGUUUGUGAGAUUCGCUGGCUUUGUUGCUUCUAGCUGCAGUUUGUUCACUUUUACUGCCGUAUAAUAUUCCACUUUAGGAGCCCACUGCAAUUUAUUGACUCAUUGCAAUGGUGAGGGCAUGUGUGUUGUUUCCAGCUUUUGGUGAUUAUGCGUAAGAUUUCUCUUAACGUCCCGUACAGAGUUCUUGGUAUUACCUGCCUAUACUGCUAUGGGCAUACACCAAAAACGAGGCAUAUGUAUAUUUGACUUUAAUAGUAAUUCUGAAUUGCUGUCUAAAGUGUUUGUACCAUUGUACACUCCCAUCAAGAGUAUACGAGUGCUGCAAAUGUCCUUUCCCAGACUCUGCCUUAUUGUCUCAUUUUUAAGAUAUAUGUUUUGAUGAUCAGAAGUUCUUUGGCCCCGUCCAAUCACGAGAAAGCUCCAGGGCUUUGUGACAAGAUGCAGUCCCAACAUCCUGUUUCAGUCUAACCAUAACUUGGGUGUUCCGCUCCAAACACGACCUCUGUGUCUGAACACUCAGCCCACUAGCAUUUGUGAUUCUGAGUCCUCAGCCGUGGAGAAUCAGGAGGAAAACAGGAGUUGUCACUGGUAGAGAAGGAAGCAGCCCAAGGGACAAAGGUCACGAUACGGUUACGCAAAUGGUGCUGGCCCACACCCUCCUGGAGAGAGGCCUGGAAGAUGGGGGGGUCAUUCAGAGACCCCAGUUGUUGGGGGGACCUGCUUUCCAGGAGAAGAAAGGAGCUUCAGAACCUUCAAUACCUGCUCCUGUGCCCCACCAGGCUGUGGCCUCUUUCAUAAGGAAAGAGCAAUAAGUCUUCAGGAGAGAAUUAACAUCCAAUGGAUUCCCAGAAAACUUUUCCCUCGAUGUACCAGCAAACACCUACAAUGCCCUGAAAAGCCGCCUCUGCGACCCCAAUGCAGAUCACACGUCCUGUCCCAGCCCCUGCAGCCUCCACGCGGCGGGUGCACUGCCAGGCACGGGAAGGCAGCGCUGGCGAGUAGAACUGGCCCAUCUCGCAGAUAGGAAGCUGAGCCUCAGGGACGUUUCACGCCUUCGUCAAGGUGGUGAGAGGAGGAGCGGGAUUGCCGUGAAGGUGGUGAGAGGAGGAGCGGGGUUUGCUGCCCGACUUCAGGGAUCUGUCACCCUCGUCCAGCAGGGUUGGUUCUUCCCGAGGCUGGGAGGAUGCCAAGCCUGGUGGAGGAUGGGGGCGGUGGUGUGGUGUGGGGAGCUUCUGACUUGCACAUCCUGAGGGAACCUUCUGCAGCUGAUGUGUGAACUGGACCCCAGGCCGUGCCUCCGAGGAAUCCCCAAGGCUAUGGCCCCUCAGGUCCUGCUGGGGUGUUGGCCCCCACCUCUGCCUCAGAAUGCAGGGGUUCUGCAGGGAAGCCGCAGACCAGCCUGCUGCCUUGGGCCCUAGGGACACUGCAGCCCCAGAAAGUACUGUGGGGGACAAAAGAGUUGUUUCUCGGGGGAGAAAACACCUGUGAGGAAAUGCAGGUGCCACAGAGGGAAAUCCUCCUGGGGAGGAGGGUACCUGUUCCAUCCUCGGCCGACACGGGACUGCCUGGUGCCUGGUACCCACAGCCGCUACCUGCCGCACGCAUCUCUCCAUGGUUUGCUAAUUACUUCCAUUAGUUUUAAACAAACUUGACAAGAGACAGAAGGGUCCAGAGAGAAAUUAAA
rnacentral:lncRNA from 1 species